rnacentral:rRNA from 1 species
GAUGAACGCUGGCGGCGUGCCUAAUACAUGCAAGUCGAGCGAACAGACGAGAGUGCUUGCACUCUCUGACGUUAGCGGCGGACGGGUGAGUAACACAUGGGUAACCUACCUAUAAGACUGGGAUAACUUCGGGAAGCCGGAGCUAAUACCGGAUAAUAUUUAGCUUCGCAUGAAGCAAUAGUGAAAGACGGUUCUGCUGUCACUUAUAGAUGGACCCGCGGUGUAUUAGCUGGUUGGUGAGGUAACGGCUCACCAAGGCAACGAUACAUAGCCGACCUGAGAGGGUGAUCGGCCACACUGGGACUGAGACACGGCCCAGACUCCUACGGGAGGCAGCAGUAGGGAAUCUUCCGCAAUGGACGAAAGUCUGACGGAGCAAUGCCGCGUGAGUGAAGAAGGUUUUCGGAUCGUAAAACUCUGUUGUAAGGGAAGAACAAGUACGUUAGUAACUGAACGUACCUUGACGGUACCUUACCAGAAAGCCACGGCUAACUACGUG